AGAAACAGAAUAGCUAAAAAGAAACAGAGAACAGGCGAAAAAGAAAGAAAGGAAAGGGAAAGAAAAAUAAAAGGGAAAAUUAGGGAUUUGAAGCUUGAAGUUUAAUAGCUAAUAUCGAGCCUAAAGCAUCGGCCCAAAAAGGAAAAGAAAAGAUCGUUGAGGAUUAAAUCCGAAGAGAAUUCUGGUUGAAAAGGGGUUAGAGUCUCGGUUCAGCAUCCAGGACAAUCCCGACUCCUGCAUAGAGAUUUUGGUGAUGUUUUCUUCCUUAAAUGAAAGUGGCAUGUACAUAAGAAUUAUGAUGGUUAUUUUGGUAUGUUAUAUAGUUUUGUUGUAAAGUAAGAUAUUAUGUGUUUUGAUGAUUAUAUUAGUAAAAUGGUAGAAGUCCUUUAUGGCAUUGGUAUCAAA